GGGGAUGUAGCUCAGUGGUAGAGCACAUACUUUGCAUGUAUGAGGCCCCAGGUUUGAUCACUGGCAUCUCCU
rfam:Loxodonta africana unplaced genomic scaffold scaffold_7, whole genome shotgun sequence.